rnacentral:rRNA from 1 species
CCUACGGGAGGCAGCAGUGAGGAAUAUUGGUCAAUGGACGAGAGUCUGAACCAGCCAAGUAGCGUGAAGGCUGACUGCCCUAUGGGUUGUAAACUUCUUUUAUAUGGGAAUAAAAUGUUCCACGUGUGGGAUUUUGUAUGUACCAUAUGAAUAAGGAUCGGAUAACUCCGUGCCAGCAGCCGCGGUAAUACGGAGGAUCCGAGCGUUAUCCGGAUUUAUUGGGUUUAAAGGGAGCGUAGGUGGAUUGUUAAGUCAGUUGUGAAAGUUUGCGGCUCAACCGUAAAAUUGCAGUUGAAACUGGCAGUCUUGAGUACAGUAGAGGUGGGCGGAAUUCGUGGUGUAGCGGUGAAAUGCUUAGAUAUCACGAAGAACUCCGAUUGCGAAGGCAGUUCACUGGACUGCAACUGACACUGAGGCUCGAAAGUGUGGGUAUCAAACAGGAUUAGAUACCCUAGUAGUC